AGAGUUUGAUCCUGGCUCAGGAUGAACGCUGGCGGCGUGCUUAACACAUGCAAGUCGAACGAACCUUCGGGUUAGUGGCGGACGGGUGAGUAACGCGUGGGAAUCUGCCCUCAGGAGGGGGAUAACGAUUGGAAACGGUCGCUAAUACCCCAUAUGCCGAGAGGUGAAAUGAAUUUCGCCUGAGGAUGAGCCCGCGUCUGAUUAGCUAGUUGGUGGGGUAAGGGCCUACCAAGGCGACGAUCAGUAGCUGGUCUGAGAGGAUGAUCAGCCACACUGGGACUGAGACACGGCCCAGACUCCUACGGGAGGCAGCAGUGGGGAAUUUUCCGCAAUGGGCGAAUGCCUGACGGAGCAACGCCGCGUGAGGGAUGAAGGCCUCUGGGCUGUAAACCUCUUUUCUCAAGGAAGAAGAUCUGACGGUACUUGAGGAAUAAGCCACGGCUAAUUCCGUGCCAGCAGCCGCGGUAAUACGGGAGUGGCAAGCGUUAUCCGGAAUCAUUGGGCGUAAAGCGUCCGCAGGUGGCUUUGUAAGUCUGCCGUUAAAGCGUGGAGCUUAACUCCAUUUCAGCGGUGGAAACUACAGGGCUUGAGUGCGGUAGGGUCAGAGGGAAUUCCCGGUGUAGCGGUGAAAUGCGUAGAUAUCGGGAAGAACACCAGUGGCGAAGGCGCUCUGCUGGGCCAUAACUGACACUCAUGGACUAAAGCCAGGGGAGCGAAAGGGAUUAGAUACCCCUGUAGUCCUGGCCGUAAACGAUGAACACUAGGCGUCGGGGGAAUCGACCCCCUCGGUGUCGUAGCCAACGCGUUAAGUGUUCCGCCUGGGGAGUACGCACGCAAGUGUGAAACUCAAAGGAAUGACGGGGGCCCGCACAAGCGGUGGAGUAUGUGGUUUAAUUCGAUGCAACGCGAAGAACCUUACCAGGGUUUGACAUCCUGCGAACCCCUGAGAAAUCGGGGGGUGCCUUCGGGAACGCAGUGACAGGUGGUGCAUGGCUGUCGUCAGCUCGUGUCGUGAGAUGUUGGGUUAAGUCCCGCAACGAGCGCAACCCACGUCUUUAGUUGCCAGCAUUCAGUUGGGCACUCUAGAGAGACCGCCGGUGAUAAACCGGAGGAAGGUGUGGAUGACGUCAAGUCAUCAUGCCCCUUACAUCCUGGGCUACACACGUACUACAAUGCUACGGACAAAGGGCAGCGAACUCGCGAGGGCAAGCAAAUCCCAUAAACCGUGGCUCAGUUCAGAUCGUAGGCUGCAACCCGCCUACGUGAAGGAGGAAUCGCUAGUAAUCGCAGGUCAGCAUACUGCGGUGAAUACGUUCCCGGGCCUUGUACACACCGCCCGUCACACCAUGGAAGUUAGCCACGCCCGAAGUCGUUACUCCAACCCUUGUGGAGGAGGAUGCCGAAGGUGGGGCUGAUGACUGGGGUGAAGUCGUAACAAGGUAACC
rnacentral:rRNA from 1 species